AUCCAUCUCCCCAGAAUAAGACCUUACAGGAGGAUGCUAAUAUUAUCCUGGUUAAGAGCAAAUUCUCCUAAGAAAAUAUCACAAAAAUAUUUCAGAGAAUACACCAGACAAAGAUCAUCUUCUCUUCUCAAACAAGAAUAUGUUAAUAGAAAACCCCAGAAUAGCAAUAUGUGAAAAGAAUUCACAUAUAGAAUUAAACUAUAAAGCCUUGCUUGUGACUGCAUACAUCCUCACACCGAGUCAGAUGGGAAGAACCAACAAUUUAUGCUGUGCAGAAAAGACCUCUAGAGAAAAGUGAUCAACAGGAAAUAACACAAUAAUUUGCCUUUGAAUUCUCAAAGUAAAAUCUAUUUAUCUUCUCCAUGUGGAACGGCCUACUCUCAGCAUCUUUGCAUUCAGCUGUGUUGAGUUGGGGAGGAGAAAACUAGCAGGAAAAUUUGUGAGCAUAUCCUUUUUCAUUAAAAUGACACAUCUUAGGAAAAUGUUCCCAAGUUCUGCACAAUUAAUUAGACUUCCUAGGAUUUUGAGUAGGAAAUUUUGACUCCUAUAUAUUAACUUUAAGAAGUUAUGUUUUCUGCAAUAACUGGAUGGAAAUAUCAUUAAAAUUUCAAAACAUACUAUUUAAAUCAAGUACUUUCUUAAAAAUGUAAAUAUAUUUCCUGAAAACUGACAUAUCU
rnacentral:lncRNA from 1 species